rnacentral:rRNA from 1 species
UACGUAGGGUGCGAGCGUUAAUCGGAAUUACUGGGCGUAAAGCGUGCGCAGGCGGUUUUGUAAGCCAGAUGUGAAAUCCCCGGGCUCAACCUGGGAAUGGCAUUUGGGACUGCAAGGCUUGAGUGCGGCAGAGGAGACUGGAAUUCCUGGUGUAGCAGUGAAAUGCGUAGAUAUCAGGAGGAAUACCGAUGGCGAAGGCAGGUCUCUAGGCUGACACUGACGCUCAUGCACGAAAGCGUGGGGAGCAAACAGG